rnacentral:rRNA from 1 species
UACGUAGGGUGCAAGCGUUGUCCGGAAUUAUUGGGCGUAAAGAGCUCGUAGGCGGUCUGUCGCGUCGGAUGUGAAAAUCCAGGGCUCAACCCUGGACCUGCAUUCGAUACGGGCAGACUAGAGUUCGGUAGGGGGAGACUGGAAUUCCUGGUGUAGCGGUGAAAUGCGCAGAUAUCAGGAGGAACACCGGUGGCGAAGGCGGGUCUCUGGGCCGAAACUGACGCUGAGACGCGAAAGCGUGGGGAGCAAACAGG